UAGCUAGUUGGUGAGGUAAAGGCUUACCAAGGCGACGAUCUGUAGCGGGUCUGAGAGGAUGAUCCCCACACUGGAACUGAGACACGGUCCAGACUCCUACGGGAGGCAGCAGUGGGGAAUUUUGGACAAUGGGGGCAACCCUGAUCCAGCCAUGCCGCGUGAGUGAAGAAGGCCUUCGGGUUGUAAAGCUCUUUCGGCCGGGAAGAAAUCGCAUGGGCCAAUACCCUGUGUGGAUGACGGUACCGGAAUAAGAAGCACCGGCUAACUACGUGCCAGCAGCCGCGGUAAUACGUAGGGUGCGAGCGUUAAUCGGAAUUACUGGGCGUAAAGCGUGCGCAGGCGGUUUUGUAAGACAGGCGUGAAAUCCCCGGGCUUAACCUGGGAACUGCGUUUGUGACUGCAAGGCUAGAGUACGGCAGAGGGGGGUGGAAUUCCACGUGUAGCAGUGAAAUGCGUAGAGAUGUGGAGGAACACCAAUGGCGAAGGCAGCCCCCUGGGUCGAUACUGACGCUCAUGCACGAAAGCGUGGGUAGCAAACAGGAUUAGAUACCCUGGUAGUCCACGCCCUAAACUAUGUCAACUAGGUGUUGGGUGGGUAAAACCAUUUAGUACCGUAGCUAACGCGUGAAGUUGACCGCCUGGGGAGUACGGCCGCAAGGUUAAAACUCAAAGGAAUUGACGGGGACCCGCACAAGCGGUGGAUGAUGUGGAUUAAUUCGAUGCAACGCGAAAAACCUUACCUACCCUUGACAUGCCAGGAACUUGCCAGAGAUGGCUUGGUGCCCGAAAGGGAGCCUGGACACAGGUGCUGCAUGGCUGUCGUCAGCUCGUGUCGUGAGAUGUUGGGUUAAGUCCCGCAACGAGCGCAACCCUUGUCGUUAAUUGCCAUCAUUUAGUUGGGCACUUUAACGAGACUGCCGGUGACAAACCGGAGGAAGGUGGGGAUGACGUCAAGUCCUCAUGGCCCUUAUGGGUAGGGCUUCACACGUCAUACAAUGGUCGGUACAAAGGGUUGCCAAGCCGCGAGGCGGAGCCAAUCCCAGAAAGCCGAUCGUAGUCCGGAUUGCAGGCUGCAACUCGCCUGCAUGAAGUCGGAAUCGCUAGUAAUCGUGGAUCAGCAUGUCACGGUGAAUACGUUCCCGGGUCUUAUACACACCGCCCGUCACACCAUGGGAGCGGGUUCCGCCAGAAGUAGGUAGCCUAACCGUAAGGGGGGCGCUUACCACGGCGGGGUUCGUGACUGGGGUGAAGUCGUAACAAGGUAGCCGUAGGGGAACCUGCGGCUG
rnacentral:rRNA from 1 species